UGCCUUUUAUGAACCACCAGGCUGAACCCUUCUCUGGAUCACGUUUGCUCUGGAGACACACAGGUCCCUGGAGCGGGUGACACACCUGAGAUUUGCCGCUGCCCGCAUUCCCGACGAUGAACACGGAGUGGCGGACCUGCAGCAGCUCCUCCAGCUGCACCACCUUCAGCACGAAGCUGUCCUCCGCCUGCAGCUUGAGCUCCACGAUGCUCUGCUUGAUGAUCUGGGGAGACAUGGAUGAGGCUGGGAGAGACAGGGUUUCACCAUGCUAGCAAGGAUGGUCUCGAUCUCCUGACCUCGUGAUCCGCCCGCCUCGGCCUCCCAAAGUACUGGGAUUACAGGCGUGAGCCACCACGCCCGGCCCCCAGAUGGACUUUUAUCACUCAGCAGAAUUCUCUGGAGAUGCACCCAGGCUGUUGCAGGAACCAGCUUUGGGACCCUGGAGGGCAAGAGCUCAAUGGCACCACACCACCCUUCGGUGCUUGGAACGUUGCAGAGAGGCAAGGAGGGUCUAUCUGGCGUGUGAGGUCACAGGAAAGCUGACGAGCCAGUCACCCGACGUGACCCCGAGGCCGCAGGCAGGGGACUUUACCUGCACGGCAAUCACAGACAAGACUUCCACUGAGAUGCGAUUAAACUCGUCAAAGCAGCCCCAGGCUCCCGUCUGGGCCAGGCCCUUGUAGAUAUUUCCACAGGACUGGAAAGGGCGAGAUGGAGAAAGGAAGAGCUGGGAGGGUGACAGGGAGGGCGGGCGCUGCAGGGGCCUCCCCCUGCCUCUUCGGCUGUGUUUUCUCUUCCCAAAGCUUGCUCAGGCCCCGGUGCAUUGGAGCCUUCCGCAGGCCAGCAGGCAGGUCAGCUUACUGCCCAGGGUAACACCGUGGAGGGCUGGACACGAGGAAGAGCCAUCCUUUCACCCUUGCCUCCCAGACCCC
rnacentral:lncRNA from 10 species